AUGAAACAUUUAUUUUCGACGAAUUUCAGAAAUAAAUAGCACGCGUUUGAUGACCUUGGCAUUCACUUUACUUUCCGGAAAUUCGUGCUGUGAUAUUGUGACGUGGAAAUCAGUGACGAUAAUGUAAAAUGUCUGAUACAUUUUAAUAUUCGUAGUAUCAUAUUUUCUUAAUGAUUGAAAUUUAAAUUUAUUGUUAUCUAAUUUGAAUUUUAAUAAGAGAAAAACAAAUUUUAGAAGCGUUUUAGCGAUGUGAAAAUAGAUACGGGACACUCGCUUGUUUGAUAUUGCGCUAGAAAAUCUUGUCGCCAUUUUUCGGACGCUUGCGCAUUUAGUUCUGAUCUUGUUAUGCCUUCUUCCGUUUCGCGUCAAGUAAUAUUUUUAUGAUUUAUAUUAUUGCAAAUGUUUAUGUACGACUUAAGCCGAUUAAUUUUGUUACCGAAGCAAUAUAUUUGUAGUUCAUGAUACUUAACAUCGUGCAAGAUAGAAUAUUAUACGUUACUUCAGGAAUUGAUUUAUAGGUACAGUAUCGAACAUUUGAAAACUUCGCUACGACGAAACUAUAUUUCUUUCGUACUCAUUUUUUAACAUCAUUAUCUGUUUAAAACUUUCAAACACGACAAUUUCGUCUUUUAUUAUAUUUCAAACGAAAAGAUUUUCAACGCUAUUAACUGAGUCAACUACCUGACUAUGUUUUACUGUUUGUAUUGACAGUGGCGAUGACUUUUUGCUAUAAAGUAGUAAAUGGCUUUGGUGGCAAGCUACCAUUUAAGGUUACGUUUCCAUACAUGGUGGCGCCUCGCGUACCUGUAUUCAUGUUGCGCACAAGGUGUAUACACUCGUAUUUUAUCUCAUGGCUAUGAAAAUAUACAGUAUCGUCCAUGUUUUACAUAUGAAAAAAUAAUGCUGUUCACAUAAAAAUUAAUAAUUCUCCGAUUUCUUAUGAAAUAAGUUUAUUUCAAUCAUACGCAUUUAUUAAAUAUUCAUAAUACGCUCACUAAUGUAAAUAUUUUUUACGGAACAGCGUUCAGGUCGAGUGAUAAAACUACAAGCUGACUCACUUAUUCAAGCACAAGUUUUAUACUUUGGAUAAAUAACGCUACAAGUUAACUAAGUUUGCGUGCAUCGUCAAGCCCGAUUUUCUUAUUGUCGGAUCCAUAUGAGAAAAAAUUUGAAAGAUGAAAUUCUAGUUUUAUUGAAAGAAGACAAUGAGCAAAAAUAUUUUAAGGUUUUGCUGCACAAAAAUCUCACUUGAAUGUAUUAAAAAAUAAUGGGACAACAAUGAAAAUAACAUGAUGACGUAACAGCUUAGUAGUUCAUUAACACUUUGUCGUGGAUACGUGUAAAAAGAUCAGGAAGAAGAAACGACUCUCGUGCGACAUGCAAAGCGCGAGCAUUUACUUUGCCAGGGCCUCGUAGCGGUUCACUAUUCCGAGAUUGACCUUUCGUAUGCACAAAUGCCUCCAAAACGUACAAUAGAUCUUCCUGUUGACCGACUGUUGACUCACUAGUUGACGCAUCCAUAUAUCGUACAAUAAUAUCAAUAGCCGAUGUUAAAGUGUUUACAAACUUAAAAUUUUUUAUCAAUAUAGCUAAAAUACAAUGCAAAGUAUUAUAAAAAAAAAGAAUGAAAAAAUUACAAAGAAAACAUAACGGCUCGGAUGUCAUAAAAAUGUUUGUAUUAGUACUGCAGUUAUACUGUACACGACGUAAUCGUAAUCGUUAUUUUAAGCUUCGUUCAUAAAGACAAAAUUUGCAACGUGUUCGGAUCGAUGGUUGGAUAGCUUAAGGAACAAAGACCGGAUACGAGAAUUGUGUAACGCAAUGUUUAUCCAACCAAUUAUCUAUGCUAGAAGCCGGAGCGAGCAUUUCACUUUUAUUCGAAUUGAUGCACGAGCCGCUACCGCAGCAAAGAACACGACCACCUGUUACGUAUGCUUGCCUAAUGCAUCAUACUAACAUUAGAUAUCCCUAUCACCUAACGAGCUAACGUUAUAACAUCUCUUUUGCAUUUCCGAAUAGUAAUACUAUGUCAGUAAAGAUGAAAGACAUUUAUACAGAGUAGAAUAGAAAGAUACUUUUAAUUAUCUUAUGCCGAAGUUAAAGAAAUAAAAUUAGAAUGAACUCUUAAAUGACAAAGAAACUCUUGAUAACGCAAUUCAGUGCUGACUAUAACCAAUUAUAUGUGCGAAGAUUGAAGAAGAGAUAUCACUUCUGGUUGUUGGUCCGAUGCUUCUUGUCAAAACAAUUUUUCUCAAAUAAUCGCUACAUGUGUUGUUACAGAAAUGCGCAUUCGGACGUAGAAUGACUCCUUGAACGUGGCUGCCAAGUACCUCUCGCUCUCAUUUUCUCCGCUUCAAGACUUUCGCCAGUUACCGAUUAGAAAUCUCGUAUUUACUUUUGACGGCUUGACAGUAAUGUUCUUAAUCACGAUAGAGCUAAGAGAAAAAGAACGUAAUUAAGGCAUUAUAAGAGUGCGCAUAAAAUAAUUAACAAACAAAGAAACAACGAAGAGAUAAGGUUGAAUCAGGAAGCGAGUCGCAUGAUCUAUACGGUGGUUUGAAAAGUAAGUAUCGAUGCGGAAGACAUUAGCGUACUGGUGACGUUUAGCGUACUGGUGAACCUAGUUUGUCACGGUAGUUUGAAAAUCGAGCUCGUUACGGUUACGGGUCAGUCGAAACAACGAAUCAAGGCCGGCUAGAAACGUGUAUCGAGUUGCCAACUAUAUUAGUCCUCUAAACUCUAACCGAGCGAGUUCUAAGGUCGCUCGAUACGACACGACGUCUAUUAAUUUAUUAUUCGAUCGUUCGCAAUUUAUUGAUAAUGCCUCCUGCGGAGGCAAAACGAUCGAAAUUAUUUUGCGAUGGAACAAUUUCUUUUCGAUUCCAUAUUUAUCAUGUAAACAAUUUAGUUUAUGUUAUAAGCGAACAUCAAGUUGCUUUCACGAUUUUGCGCACGUUAAGAAAAUUAUUUGCGAUGUUUGAGUGCAAUAGGGAGUCGAGCAAAUUACAUUACCGACAAAUGUACUGUUGCGAGUCGAUUAUACCAGUAGGAGAUCGGGCCAUGCGUUACAAACAGCUAGCGAAUUUAAACAACCUGCACAAGAUUUACGAUUUAUCCGAUCUGCGAUGUAUAGUUCGUGCUUAACUGCAACUACAUGUACAAGCAAAAAUUUUCAGUGAAAUCGAUUAAGAAAUAAUCCACUAGACCGGAUUUGAACAAACGUGAGCGUAGAGGUGACAAGGAAUUAGUCUGAGUAUACAUUUCUGAAAAAAUAUAUACAAUUUUAGCAUUA